CAACACACACUCCAUCCCAUUUCUCUCUCUCUUUUCCUCUCAAAUUUUCUACACUUUUCUCUCCUUUUCUUCUUCUCAUUUUCGAUUCUUACAACACAAAUUAGAGCUCAAAACUCUUAAGUGAAUCAACUAUAAUAAUAAGGGUUCAUGCUAGAUCAUUCAAGGGUGUGUUAAAGCAAGCUAAGGAGUCCAUUUUUGGGUCAUAUGGUUGUGGGUUUGGGUGUCCAAAACAGCCUCCAUUUCGAGUUCAUCAAGGGGAUAGGCUUGGCCUUGAUGUACGAAUGAGGAGCAUAAGGAAUAUAUAAUCAAGGAAGCUAUAGAUGGGAAGUACCCAUUUUGGAUAUAUGGAAUAUAAUGUGUGGCAUAUCAAGGAAAUAAGCUUAAGCAUU